ACGAAAAGGAAAGCGUAAUUUGGAUGCGAGGAGCGAAUAGUAAUUUGGAUAAUUGCGUCGCCAUAGAAUAUCGGUAAUAAAAGCAAGGUGUUGAAAUGGGUCACUAGGGUGACUCGAGCCAGGUGAAUGUCGAGGGUCCCGGAUGAAGAUCGAGCAUCGAGCAAGAACCGAACACACAUUAAAUAAAGCUUCCGCAACGUUGUUUUGUCGUUAUUCUAAACGGCGAUUUAAAUCACAUUAUGUAUAUCACUUAAAUUGUAAAAGUUUUUAACAAACCCGUAUUUCCGAUGUAUAUAUAAUCAUUAAUUACAUGAUUAUUUUUGCAAAAUA